rnacentral:rRNA from 1 species
GAUGAACGCUGGCGGCGUGCCUAAUACAUGCAAGUCGAGCGAACAGAUGAGGAGCUUGCUCCUCUGACGUUAGCGGCGGACGGGUGAGUAACACGUGGAUAACCUACCUAUAAGACUGGGAUAACUUCGGGAAACCGGAGCUAAUACCGGAUAAUAUAUUGAACCGCAUGGUUCAAUAGUGAAAGACGGUUUUGCUGUCACUUAUAGAUGGAUCCGCGCCGCAUUAGCUAGUUGGUAAGGUAACGGCUUACCAAGGCAACGAUGCGUAGCCGACCUGAGAGGGUGAUAGGCCACACUGGAACUGAGACACGGUCCAGACUCCUACGGGAGGCAGCAGUAGGGAAUCUUCCGCAAAGGGCGAAAGCCUGACGGAGCAACGCCGCGUGAGUGAUGAAGGUCUUCGGAUCGUAAAACUCUGUUAUUAGGGAAGAACAAAUGUGUAAGUAACUAUGCACGUCUUGACGGUACCUAAUCAGAAAGCCACGGCUAACUACGUG